rnacentral:rRNA from 1 species
AAGUCGGGCGGCAGGGGGCAGCAAUGUUUCCGAGAGCGGCGGACUGGUGAGUAACGCGUGGGUGACCUGCCCCGAGGUUGGGGAUAGCCGCUAGAAAUAGCGGGUAAUACCGAAUAUGGUUGUUUCGCUGUGGCGGGACAAAGAAAGGAGCUCCGGCUCCGCCUUGGGAUGGGCCCGCGUCCCAUUAGGUAGUUGGUGUGGUAACGGCGCACCAAGCCCGAGAUGGGUAGCCGGCCUGAGAGGGUGAACGGCCACACUGGGACUGAGAUACGGCCCAGACUCCUACGGGAGGCAGCAGCUAAGAAUAUUCCGCAAUGGACGAAAGUCUGACGGAGCGACGCCGCGUGGAUGACGAAGGCCGGAAGGUUGUAAAAUCCUUUUGUUGCUGAAGAAUAAGGCGGGGAGGGAAUGCCCCGCUGAUGACGUUAGGCAACGAAUAAGCCCCGGCUAAUUACGUGCCAGCAGCCGCGGUAACACGUAAGGGGCGAGCGUUGUUCGGAAUUAUUGGGCGUAAAGGGCGCGUAGGCGGUUACGCAAGCCUGGCGUGAAAUGGCAGGGCUCAACCCUGUCACGGCGCUGGGAACUGCGAAACUUGAGUCAUGGAGGGGGAGUUGGAAUUCCGCGUGUAGGGGUGAAAUCUGUAGAUAUGCGGAAGAACACCGGUGGCGAAGGCGAACU